rnacentral:rRNA from 1 species
UACGUAGGGGGCAAGCGUUGUCCGGAAUUAUUGGGCGUAAAGAGCGCGUAGGCGGUCCGAUAAGUCGGCUGUGAAAGUCAUGGGCUCAACCCAUGAAAGCCGGCCGAUACUGUCGGACUAGAGUCCGGAAGAGGCGAGUGGAAUUCCCGGUGUAGCGGUGAAAUGCGUAGAGAUCGGGAAGAACACCCGUGGCGAAGGCGGUGUGCUGGGUUGCAACUGACGCUGAGAUGCGAAAGUGUGGGUAGCAAACGGG